UACGUAGGGUGCAAGCGUUGUCCGGAAUUAUUGGGCGUAAAGAGCUCGUAGGCGGGUUGUUGCGUCGGCUGUGAAAUCCCGAGGCUCAACCUCGGGUCUGCAGUCGAUACGAGCAAACUAGAGUGUUGCAGGGGAGACUGGAAUUCCUGGUGUAGCGGUGAAAUGCGCAGAUAUCAGGAGGAAUACCCAUAGCGAAGGCAGCUCGCUGGGACGGUACUGACGCUAAGGCGCGAAAGCGUGGGGAGCGAACAGG
rnacentral:rRNA from 1 species